rnacentral:lncRNA from 1 species
UCCAUUCCAAAGGCAAGAGUUUGCAUCUAUGAACCCCAAAUUCCAAGUCCAUCCCACUCCCUCCCCCUUCCCCUUGGCAACCACCAAGUCUGUUCUCCAAGUCCAUGAUUUUCUUUUCUGUGGAAAAGUUCAUUUGUGCCGUAUAUUAGAUUCCAAAUAUAAAUGAUAUCAUAUGGUAUUUGUCUUUCUCUUUCUGACUUACUUCACUUAGUAUGAGAGUCGCUAGUUCCAUCCAUGUUGCUGCAAAUGGCAUUAUUUUGUUCUUUUUAUGGCUGAGUACUAUUCCGUUGUGUAUAUAUACCACAUCUUCUUAAUCCAUUCAUCUGUCAAUGGAUAUUUAGGUUGUUUCCAUGUCUUGGCUAUUGUGAGUAGUGCUGCAAUGAACAUACAGGUGCGUGUGUCUAUUUCAAGGAAAGUUUUCUCUGGAUAUGUGCCCAAGAGUGGGAUUGCUGGGUCAUAUGGUAGUUCUAUAUUUAGUUUUCUGAGGUACCUCCAUUCUGUUUUCCAUAGUGGUUGUUGCUCAGUUCUCUUAGUCUCCUUUCCUCAGAUUUGGAACCUAAGCUUGAAUAUUCAGAGGUGGAGGAAGGUGGAGAAGGAUUGUAACAAGUGUGGAGAGGUUAUGAGGACACCUGAAGUCUCUGCCGUGGGUGCAGAUGUCAGGAAAUCUGGAGCCUUCCCAGGCAUGGCCGGGGUCAGGUCUGGGUGUGAUGGAUCAGCAUGUGACCAAAAUCAUCAACAUCGUCCUCCUUAGUCCACCUGGCUCUUGGAGAACAGGGGCUACUACAAAACAGCAGUCAAGUGGCUGAGAAUAACAAGGUUUCUGCUUGUUAACUUAGGUCUCAGGCAAAGAUCAGCUAAAAUCUGUUGCCAUGUCAGGCUUCUGCAUUUUUGUUUUGUUUUGGUUUUGCUUUGUACUUUCUAAAUCCUCACCUGCAGCAUAUAGAAGUUCCCAGGCUAGGGAUCAAAUUGGAGCUACAGCUGCCAGCUAACACCACAGCCACAGUAACACCAGAUCAGAGCCGCAUCUGUGACCUUCACCACAGCUCACAGCAACACCAAAUCCUCAACCCACUAAGUGAGGCCAUGGAUUGAACCUGCAUCCUCAUGGAUACUAUUCACAUUCAUUUCCGCUGCACCAAAAUGGGAACUCCUGCCACUUCAGGCCUCUGCAUGUUAAGAGAAUUAUUACACUUCCGCAAUGGUUAAAAGUCACUCAGUCUUUGCUCCCAUCCCCAUUAACACUGAAGCAUCUAGUAAUCUCCCAGCAAGGUUCACCUGCCCAUCUCUACCAUUUAAUCAUAUGCUGUCCUUGAUUUCCUCUCCAGUGCCAGCUGCCACUAAGAGAAAGACCUGAUAUCAGAAACCCAAAGAAUAUAGCUGAUAGUGAGUCUAAACAAGAAACCCCAGGAACAGCCUCCAGCCAGAAUGUGUCAGUUCAUAUAGGACCAAAGGAGGCCUUCUUGCCCAGGCAUGAAAGACACAGGGCUUGGCCCCAGUGCAUCAGUGGAGACAGAAAGGCAGGAAGGGGUUCAUGAGGGUUGCAGGGAAUUUUUACCCAACCUCAUCUUUUGCCGCCACCUCAUCAUACUCCAGCCUUGGAGCCAAUUGCAACUCUGCCACUUCCUCCAAGUAUCAGUGAGAGCAGUGGUGAUGGCCACCAGACCCAAUUCACAUGCAUCGGCCAAAACCAAAACUUAAUAGCUCCCGGAACUCGGAAAAUAAGGGCAGCUCUGGUGUCAGGCUCAGCAGGAUUCAGGGACUCAAUGAUAUAGACCGGCUUUUGUCUCCCUCCCUGCCUUGUUCCCAGUGGCACAUCUGUUACAGAUGGGAUUCCUCCAUGGAGCAGGGAAAUGGUAUUCAUCAGCCCAGGUGACGUCACUCCGGCUUCACUAGCCACUCAGAGGAUUGUGAUGGGCCCGUUGAACACCAGCGACGCAGUCCUUAGACCAGUUACUGCCCAGGGAAAUACUCUAAUUGGAGAGUAUUUUAUCAUGGGGUCUGUUUCUCCCCCCACCAAAAAAUAGAAAGACACUGAGCAGAUGAAACAAAACCAGCACAGUCCACUACACCCCUCACCUCAGGGAUCUGUUCAUUCAGUUGCAGGUGCAGUCCCUUCACCUGGAACCCCCCCCCCCUUUUCUUAGGGCUGCUCCUGCGUCAUAUGGAAGUUUCCAGGUUAGGAGUCAAAUUCUGAGCUCUAGCCGCCGGCCACAGCCACAGCCACAGCCACACCGGAUCCAGGCUGCAUCUUCAACCUCCACCACAGCUCAUGACAACACCAGAUCCUUAACCCACUGAGCAAGGCCAGGGAUCAAACCCACAUCCUCAUGGAUGCUAGUCGGGUUUGUUACUGCUGAGCCACAAUGGGAACUCCCUGAAACCCUUAAAACCCUGCCUGUGUGACAAACCCCUGCUUUUCCCUCAUGACCCAAGCCCUCUGGCACAUACCCAUCUACUCCCUCCCCAGACAGAGCCGGGCCACCAUAGUGUUUUGUAUGUGCUUCUGCUGUUUCACUCACAUACUCAUUUGUUCUUUUAGCAAAUCCUUAUCCUUUAGCAUUGCACCUACCUCCUCUAGGACUAUGGCUUUGUGAGAGUAGGGAUAUGUCCCAGUCAUUUCAGGACAUCCAGCCGCUCCUGUCUGUCAGGGCCUGACACUGCUGGUGGCCACAUCCUCAAAUGUUAGGGUGACAUACAGGAAUUGGCUGUUUCCCCACUGUAUAGGUUCUCUAUACCAAAGUUCUCUUGGUACUGGGUAUGGAGGGAGGAACUGCAUGCUGGAGUCAUUAAUUUCUCUGCCUUCUAUGCAAAUCCCUCACAUCCCAGGCUGUCUGGGAAGACAUUGUGCAUUCUGUACAGCAACCAUUGGCAGAACUUGAACUGUGACACAUGCCUGGCUUGCCCUAAUACGUUACACACAGAGAGUGUUUAUCUCUCACAUAUUGUAUCUGAGAAUCUUAAGUGGUCAUGGGGUCCAACUUGAAUUCCCUGGGCUGAAGACCUUCUUGGUGAUGCUAACAUACCUCCAAGAACACAGGACUUGUUACCUUGUAAGGCAGCCCCCUAGUUAUUAGGGGCCACAUGUUUACCCCUGACUACUUUGGCCAUCAGUCCUAAUUCUCUUCUCUAGGACCACAGGGUCCUGGGACCACUACUCCUCCCAGUGGCCAUUCUAUUUCGUGUUCACUCAUUCUUUCAUGUGUACAUGUGAUCAUUAAUGCCGUCACUCAUUUAAAAACAUUGAUAAGGUCUGUUUUGCCCAAGAGAGGCAGGUCCCCUGUUCUCAUUGAGCUGAUAUCGUUACAGGGAGAGACAGACAAUAAAUAACCAAACAGAUAAAACAGGAGAAACACAGUUGUCAAAAGAGCCGUGGAGAAAAUAGUGCAAUAUGAGGGUUGAGGAAAUUUUCAGUAGAGCAAACAGGACAGAUGACUUUCAGGAAAUGAAUUUGAGCCAAUGAGUGAUAAGAAGGAGGAACCUACACAUAAUUUGGGAAAAGAGCCUCUGGGGGGAGAAUUAGAGGAAGGAGCAGUUGUCAUUGUGGUGGAGGAGAGGGAGGGGAAAAGUAGAAAUGCAGAUGGAGAGGUGGGCAGGGGCCAAGGUGAGGAUCUGUCAUUAGAAAGAGGGAAGCCUCUGAACUUUCUUUUGUGGUUUGGUGUGUUGAGAACCUGACAUAGUGUCCGUGAGAAUGUGGAUUUGAUCCUUGGCCUCAAUCCUUGAAGAUUAAGGGUCUGGUGUUGCUGCAAGCUGCAGCAUAGCUUGCAGAUGCAGAUGCAGCUGGGAUCCGGCAUUGCCAUACCAUGAUGUAGACUGCAGCUUCAGCUCAGCUUGCAGAUGCAGAUGCAGCUGGGAUCUGGCAUUGCCAUAGCCGUGAUGUAGACUGCAGCUGCAGCUCCGAUGUAAACUCCCAUAUGCCUUAGGUACAGCCUUAAAAAGAAAAAAAGGAAAUAGGGAAGCCUUCAGAAGUUUUGAGUAGGGGCAUGUAUAAUUUUGAAAGAGCACUUUGAAGGUAGAAGUUUGAGGUAGAUUCUCAAAUCCUUGAGGACAAAUAGGAAGUGGCCAUUACUUUAUUUCAAAGAGUAAGAAAGAUCUGAUUUAGAGGUGAGUUCUAGAUGCCCUGGAGAGACAGCACCAUAAUAUCUGGGACUGAGGUUGGAUGGCCCAAGACGGGCCUUGAGACACUCCUCGUGGAAGGUGGUUUGGGAAGGACAGCUCCUUUUCCUAGAGAGCCAGAUCUCCUCCACGCCCAGGCCGUGUUCUUCUUAUGAGUUUUCCACAAAGAUGAAACACUAGGAGGCUGGCCAGCACGGGACUUUUAAUGACUUCCUCCUGGAGCAGAGUGGAGUUGCCCCAGUGAGGCACCAAGUAUGCUGGCACUGUUGUCUGUGAGGGAAACUACACUGUUGGUAGAGCAGGCAUCCUGCUGUUGGAACUGGGGCCCAGGAGGACCCUCAGAGCAGCAAAGCAGAGAGAAACAUCACAAGCAAAAAGCUUGGGAGCAGUGGAAAAUGUAUUUACAUGUUUUAUAAAGAUUUCACAGCCAUCAAAAGGCAAGGAACUUGGAAAAACUUUCCCACACGUGACCAAUGAAGGAGAGUAUCCUAAGACACAGAAUUCACAUCAGUGAGGAAACAGGGAUCCCCCACUUUUUUUAAAUGGGGAAAUAUGUGAGCAGACUUUUAUAGAAAAGAAAAAUCCAUGUGGUUAAUAAAAGUACUCAACCUAACUAAAAUCAGAGAAAUGCAAACUAAACCAGAAGUGGGAUGCCAGUUAUCUUUGGGGGCAAAUUGUUAAUCAAAUAUAAAAAUGUAUUUUUUUAAAACUCUCUGCUGGUGAAGCUGCAGUGAGAUGGAUGUUAUCGUGCUGUGGUGAUGUGCACCUUUAAAAAGGGAUGCUUUUCACAGAGAGCCCCAAACAAAUUGAACCCAAAGAGGCCCACACCAAGACAUAUUAUAAUAAAAAUGGCAAAAGUUAAAGAUAAAGAGAGGAUUGCAAAGGCAGCAAGAGAAAAGAAAAGUGUUAAUUAUAAGGGAACCCCAAUAAGGCUAUCAGCUGAUUUCUCUAUAGAAACACUACAGGCCAGGAGGGAGUGGCAAGAUAUAUUUAAAGCACUGAAAGGAAAAAAUUUGCAACCUAGAAUACUCUGUCCAACAAGAAUAUUAUUUAAAAUAGAAGGGGAAAUAAAGAAUUUCUCCAACAAACAAAAGGUAAAAGAAUACGGCAAUACAAAACCCAUUCUAAAAGAAAUACUGAAAGGGCUUCUC